rnacentral:rRNA from 1 species
GACGAACGCUGGCGGCGUGCUUAACACAUGCAAGUCGAACGAAAAGAGGGAAAGAGCCUGCUCUUUCCGGAAUUGAGUGGCAAACGGGUGAGUAACACGUAAACAACCUGCCUUCAGGAUGGGGACAACAGACGGAAACGACUGCUAAUACCGAAUAAGUUCCAAGAGCCGCAUGGCCCAUGGAAGAAAAGGUGGCCUCUACCUGUAAGCUAUCGCCUGAAGAGGGGUUUGCGGCUGAUUAGCUGGUUGGAGGGGUAACGGCCCACCAAGGCGACGAUCAGUAGCCGGUCGGAGAGGAUGAACGGCGGCACGGGAACUGAGACACGGUCCAGACUCCUACGGGAGGCAGCAGUGGGGAAUCUGCCGCAAUGGGCGAAAGCCUGACGGAGCAACGCCGCGUGAGUGAUGACGGCCUUCGGGUUGUAAAACUCGGUGUUCCGGGACGAAAAGGCAGAGUGCGAAGAACAAACUGCAUUGACGGUACCGGAAAAGCAAGCCACGGCUAACUACGUG